UCAUCAACUGUGUACACACCCGUAUCCGUACUCUGCCUUGAAGUUCGAUAACGCGACAUAUUUCCCGUAGUUCCGGGGAAUCUUUCUUGAAGUUCUCGACGACGAUUUAUUGAAUCUUCUACUCUUUGGCGUUUCCGCCUCUCUGAAAAUUCAUGUUAUUUGUUGAAUAAGAAAACAACAUCUUUUAAUCAACGAUACUUAUUACAAUCCUGUGUAUAGUCGUCUCACCUCUUUUUAUCAAUUCUCGGCCUUCUUCAACAAGAUCAGUUGUAAGCUCGUCAUCGCCCAGAAAUUGUUGGAAACCAAGCAUAGAUAGCAAACGACUUCCGAGACUAAAAUUGUGUUACACAUUUGAAAAAUACACCAAGAUACCUGGGUAUAUUGAGUUUCCAUCACUUGAGUUUUUAUAAUGUGCGAGUCCAUAUGAAUUAAACUAAGGAAAUUCAAACACAUGGGCGGAGUAAGUCGACACAACAUCAUACCACUGAAAAUCAAACUGUACUCGUUGGUUUGAUGAUGUGGAGCCAAAUAAUAUAAAUUUAAUACUCGUAUUUUCAAAACCGUCGAGUAUGCGCAAUAACAUAAAUACGCAAUCACCAAUGUUGAGAGCACCUAAAAAAAUGCUCUUUAUGUGAAAUAGAAGUAGAUAAUUUCAAAAUAAAUUAAAAAUUCAUUCCUUUUACCUCGAUUGUAAAAUAAUCGUACUUUACUUUUGCCGAAUUAACAAAAGCGGCAAAUAGUGACAAUACUGGCGAUUUGUUGAAAAAAGUCACUUCUGACCAAACUACAGCUAUUGAUAGAGUUGCUGCCAAUACAGCUGCUGCUUUUUGCACAUGACUUUUGAUCAAACAUUUCCAAUACCAUUCUGUAAUAAAAAAAAAAUGUCAGUUUGAUUAUGUAAGAAUUUUUUCAAUAAACUUAGAUUUCAAUAAUUGCAUUACCUAUGCUAGGAUUAUAUAAAAUACGUAGUAUCAAUGGACGUUGUACAGGAAAGGUAGGCUUAAAUCUUCUAUCAUGACUAGUUUGAUUUCUUGAAAUAUCUUCUAGAUCAAAAAUAUCAUCUACUAAGAUACCCCAUUGUGUCUCUGUUCUUUG